UGCCUAUCUCUCAAUACGUCAAACUUUUCGUCGUCAACCAACACUCCCGUUGCCGUGCAGUUUGCACUUUGGUCCCUUGCAAAUUGGAGAAUUAACCCACAGUCAUUUACCUCACUUUGGUGCGAGACGAGAGCUAGGGUUCCGCCGCCAGCAAUCCCUUUCUCUUCCUCCCGGGCGGCCGCCGCCGACUCCAUCGCUCCACCACGUGCGUCGGCGCCACCACCUUGCUCGCGCGGCCGUACGUGCGGGAGGCCAUCCGAGUUGCGCCUGUGCCUCGGGGAAGGGUCACCGCCGCCAGAUCAGACCGAGGAGGAGUGGCUCCACGGGAACGACACCGUAGGCAGCCCCUACGCAUCCUCAGUAUGCGCCCGCGCCGGCGAAAUCCGCCGCUGCGACACAGACCAGACCGAGGAGGAGGUCUUCAACGCAGGGCCCCGGGUACCCAUCCCCGUCCCUCCUCCUCCUCCACAUCGCCGUCACCAUCCCAGGCACCCGAAAAUAUGCAUCUUCCCCGAGCUAAAGCCGCUUGCCACCGCUCAGGCUUGCUGCUGCUGCCGGCUAGAAACUGCCACCAGCUCUGGGGCCAUUUUCACGUCGCCGCCGGCGACCUCGUCUGCAUCCACCGGCCCGCUUGCUGUGGAGCUCCAGUGAUUCAAAUAAUUGCAAGCUCGCAGUGGUGAAUCAAUACUCACGAACAAGCCAGUGAUCAGAUGUAUCGCGAGUUGCUGACAGUUUUUGCUCCGUGGAGUGAGCUUUUCUCCGUGCCAAUCAUGCAUCAAAGUUAUAGCACAACUCGUUGACACAUCCCCGGAUUGCAAAAGUAGUUUGCUCAUGUUCUGGUGAUGGAGAAAGUGAGGAGGAUACUGAAGUGGUUGAGGUUAGUAGAUGUUUUUCUUCCUUUUGUCUUACUUGUAUUGUAUCAUGCAAGAAUCAGUUUAAUCUAAUGCAAGAGAAAGUGAGGAGUAUUAUGUUCUCUACUUAAAGAAGAAUGUUUGGUUGAACAAAUUUUAAGUUACCGUUUCCCCUUUUGGAUAUGCUUGGAUGGGGCAACCAAUCCAAUUUUUUUAUUUUCGAAAUGGGGAUCAGCCCCUGCCUCUGCAUCAGUUAGAUGCAUGCAGCAUUUAUUUCUAACCAAUCCAAUUUUAAACUGAUGAUGAACUAACCUUUCCUGUACUUCUGGGAGAUGUUGUGAUAAGAAUUGCAGUAGUGUUGUCCUGACUUCUUGACUUCAAUAUUUUAUUGAAAUAGCAAUCUUUGUAGCCAUGCUAAUUAUUGAAGACAUCGAAAAUUGGUGUAUGCCUUGCAAAAGCAAUCUAUGCAGAUAACAAUGUUGUUGUCUAUUAUGUAAAGCAGAGAGAAGAUGAAGCACGCCCGAGCAUGGGCGGCAUGGCGGCCGGGUUUUUGUUGCCGGAGGAGCUAUGGUAACGCGAUGGAGCUGCCGGCGAGACCGCGAGAGUCAAGACGCGGGGAGCAGGUCUUCCCCUCCCUGCUGCCUCUGGCCGCGGUGGCGAGGCAUGACACAGGUACAUAACUUUUGGCCUACUUGAACCUCAACUUUUCUAUUGGAGGAAGUACAUCACUUCAUCAGGCACCCCAAAAGGCUGGGACAAACCUACUGUUAGGCAAUGACAGAUGUAUAUGUGGUUUUAAUUUGUCUAUUCAUCAUGUUCUAAUUCCGUCGAUAUGAGUGUUGCAGCUCUAAUUGUAUUUUGUUCAAGCAUCCUAAGGGCAUACAAUUUAUUGCAGAGAACUCUUCGAUUUCAGAGAAGAAUAUUUUGGAACACAUGUCAAAGAAGAAUAUAUAUACUCAUAUUGUCACAGGGUAUACUCCUAAUCUGGUUUGCUAUUUGAUCAUGCUUUGGAUUGUCUGAUCGGUCUGAACCUCCAUAGACAAAGCAUCACUACGUUUUGGAUGGUGCACUAUAAUUUCCAGAAACUCAGUCUCCUAUGGUUCUCAUCAUAACCUUUUUUAAUCUCGAUCUGGUAUUUGUUGCUUAUAUAUAUUGUAGGUGAUUGUAGGGUAGAGCAAAGUCUUUGUUUGCAUCCUUCUAUUAUAUCGAAAGGUUGAUUUUCAUCUUUGGCAGCUCAAUGGUCUUAUCUAAGCUCCUUAACGGGGAUAAGUUAUUUCUAACUUUAUAUUUCUAUUUCCUUUUGAGUGCAAAGUCAUACCAAUUAUGAUAUCUUUGUUGAACUCUGAAUUGGAGCAAGAUGACGCCAUUGUGGAUAUAUACUGUGCAAACACAUAUUUAUUGUAUGAUGUUCCAUUAUACUAACUGGAUGUUCCAUCUACUUUCAGUUUCAUGAGACGAUGUUCAAUAAAAAAACACUUGUGGAGUAGCUGUAUCACUUGAACUAUGCUAUUAUGGUGCUUCACCUUCGUCUUCCCUUUAUAUGUUUGUAUCCAUUUUUGCGCUAGACAUUGUAUGGGAGCAUGCCGAUUGGGCUGGUUUAUGAAUGGGCAUGGAUGGGAAGAUGCUUUUAGUCAAUAGAGAACUUGUGUUACCCCAGACCAAGCUCAAGUAUGGGGAUAGAGUUGAAGUGAGGUUUUCUUCACAUAUUACCCGAGAUAAUUUACAAGUUGGCUACUACUCGUGAGCUUGUACAUAAUGAGACCUUGUGGUAGGAACUUGUGCUGUAAAUAUGAGUUUUGAUGCAAUAAAUUCAAGUUUGAAUCAAA